rnacentral:misc_RNA from 1 species
UUUCCGUAGGCGAACCUGCGGAAGGAUCAUUACUGAGUGAGGGCCCCUCGGGGUCCAACCUCCCACCCGUGUUUAACGAACCUUGUUGCUUCGGCGGGCCCGCCUCACGGCCGCCGGGGGCAUCUGCCCCCGGGCCCGCGCCCGCCGAAGCCACCUGUGAACGCUGUCUGAAGUAUGCAGUCUGAGACAAUUAUUAAAUUAAUUAAAACUUUCAACAACGGAUCUCUUGGUUCCG